GUGUAAACUCUCCUCUUAUAGCGAAACUGUUCAGAAAAAACAAAACCCAGUUUGUAAAACCAGAACCCGCUCACAGUUCACAUGGUGCUGGAGUUUGAAUGUUUUCCUGCAACGCCCCCUGCUGGAUGAAUCAUUAAAGCACCUUUUCCCAAGAAAGGAAGGAGAAACAAUUACAACACAUAAAAAACAACAACAGCUGACGUGCACGAGGAACUUCACUCUGCAACACGUUCAGAACACCGGAGGUCCUAAAGCGUUCAUGGACUCUGACACCACAGAAGGAGAGUAACGCUCAGAACCACCGAACGGGUCUCUGCUGCUCUAAGACGGGUUCAGGGUUCAGCCAGCGCAGACGAGGUCUGUCCAGUGAUGCUCAACGAGACCAAAAAACACAAGAUCAGUGGAAAGUGACUGGGAGUGGACCAGAACCAGUACAGAUGUGGAACAGGUGAUAACCUCGCAGCAUUUUGUUUAAUUUUUGAUAAAGUUCAUGUUUGACUUUGAGUGAGUUAACCAAAAACAACUUCGGUUUCUGUAUCAAAAAUGUAAAUAAAAUGUCUCAAAGUUUUAAAAAGGUUCCUGAAGAAUUUAAAAAUCGGAUCAGAGUCAGAAACCCAACUAAAAUCCAAACUGAAGCUGUCAGACGCGGCUGAGAUUCUGGUGCCAAAUGGAUGCAAAUAUGCAGAGCGCUGCCUGUCGUUUUUUAUGAUGCUGUGGGUUGUCGAGGUCCAGAAAUAACGUAGAUCAUAAAAGCAGCAGGCGCUAGCUGAUGCUAACAGGAAGACUGAGUCACGCAGUUUAAACGGACCCAAGAUCAAAGUAGAAACAUUUACUCCGACCCAUCGUAGAGAUGGCUUUACGUUCAUGAACCCCCCUCAUACGCUAACGCAGGCCCUUGUGCUAACCUGAUCAGUAACAUGGUUAGCUUAUGUGAGCUUACAUUUGAGAAUAUCUGGAGUUUGAUGAUUUAAAAUAAAUGUUGGUUUAGGAGGAGAGAAUAGUUUCGGUGUCGGGGUAAAAACUACAACUGAGA